AUGUCGAACAUGACGGUGACCAGAUCAUCUCCGGAGGACCCUCAUGUCGCUGCCGGCGAGCAGCAGCAGCCGCAGCGGCAAGCAGCGGACAAGGCGCCUCGCACCACCGAGGAGGAGCCGGCGGAUUUUACCAAUAUUUCCCGGUACCAGAGGAACAACCCAGAGUCCGUUCCAGUCCCAAAUGGCAGCGGCAGCAGCAGUGGCAGCUCCACCACCAGGAAGCUAACAGAACACGCACCAUCAGCCACACCAAGCAUGGACGAGCGCGACGGGGCCACAGCCGUGGACGCCGACAACUCGAGCCUCGCGUCCUACCUCGCCCGCGCCUCGCUCAAGCAGCGCUGGCCAGGAGGGCGUCCGGCGUCCUCAUCCGCUGUCAUAGUGAGCGAUCACCCGCUACACAACACCUCCGUGCACUCCCCGCAGGGACUCAACCUGGGCGGCAGCCUCUACGACUUGGCAGCCCAAGCCUCCGAGGUAUCCAACAACCUCGGUGGCGCGGUCUACACCUUCGACGCCCAGGCCUCCCAGGUAUACAACAGCCUCGACGGCGGCCUCUACAACCUCGCCGCCCAGGCUACCCAGGGAGCCGACCUCGGCGCGGGCGGGCUCUACAACCUCGCCGCCCAGGCCACCCAGGGAACCAACCUCGGCGACGGCAGCAGCAGCAGCCACAUCGCCAUCGCCGCGCCGAAAGACCCCGUCCCGCUCAAGUGGGGCCACAAGAAGCGCUCGCGCGCCCGCCGUGAGCCGCACGCGCUCGCGCCCGCUCCCACUCCUGCACCCGUACCGGUGCCUACUCCUGCGCCAGCACCGGUGCCCACUCCCACCCCCGCGGCUGAGCCCCAGCUGAUCCCCGCUCAGGCGCAUUGCCGGGCCAUCUUAAGGCUGAAGAAACGCCCGGCGGCGCAAGGCUAG
rnacentral:rRNA from 1 species